rnacentral:rRNA from 1 species
GAUGAACGCUGACAGAAUGCUUAACACAUGCAAGUCAACUUGAAUUUGGGUUUUUAACUUAGGUUUGGGUGGCGGACGGGUGAGUAACGCGUAAAGAACUUGCCUCACAGCUAGGGACAACAUUUGGAAACGAAUGCUAAUACCUAAUAUUAUGAUAAUAGGGCAUCCUAUAAUUAUGAAAGCUAUAAGCGCUGUGAGAGAGCUUUGCGUCCCAUUAGCUAGUUGGAGAGGUAACGGCUCACCAAGGCGAUGAUGGGUAGCCGGCCUGAGAGGGUGAUCGGCCACAAGGGGACGGAGACACGGCCCUUACUCCUACGGGAGGCAGCAGUGGGGAAUAUGGGACAAUGGACCAAGAGUCUGAUCCAGCAAUUCUGUGUGCACGAUGAAGUUUUUCGGAAUGUAAAGUGCUUUCAGUUGGGAAGAAAGAAAUGACGGUACCAACAGAAGAAGUGACGGCUAAAUACGUG